UACGGUGGGGGCAAGCGUUGUUCGGAAUUACUGGGCGUAAAGGGCUCGUAGGUGGCCAACUAAGUCGGACGUGAAAUCCCUCAGCUUAACUGGGGAACUGCGUCCGAUACUGGAUGGCUCGAGUUUGGGAGAGGGAUGCGGAAUUCCAGGUGUAGCGGUGAAAUGCGUAGAUAUCUGGAGGAACACCGGUGGCGAAGGCGGCAUCCUGGACCAACACUGACACUGAGGAGCGAAAGCCAGGGGAGCAAACGGG
rnacentral:rRNA from 1 species